UGGCAUGGAUUAGGCAUGCAAGUCGCGCGGACCAGCAAUGGUUAGCGGCGAAAGGGAGAGUAACGCGUGGGUUAUCUGCCUCCUGGACCGGGAUAGCUGCGGGAAACUGCAGGUAAUACUGGAUAACGUCUUUGGACCAAAGGUGUGAUUCCGCCGGGAGAUGAGCCCGCGUCCUAUUAGCUAGUUGGUGAGGUAACGGCUCACCAAGGCAAAGAUGGGUAGGGGGUGUGAGAGCACGACCCCCCUCACUGGGACUGAGACACUGCCCAGACACCUACGGGUGGCUGCAGUCGAGAAUCUUCGGCAAUGGGCGAAAGCCUGACCGAGCGACGCCGCGUGCGGGAUGAAGGCCCUCGGGUUGUAAACCGCUGUCAGUGGGGAGGAAGGCUCUGUGAAGAGCAGGGUUUGACCUAUCCGCAGAGGAAGUCCGGGCUAAGUUCGUGCCAGCAGCCGCGGUAACACGAACCGGACAAACGUUAUUCGGAAUCACUGGGCUUAAAGGGUGCGUAGGCGGCCUGACAAGUUGGGUGUGAAAUCCCUCGGCUCAACCGAGGAAUUGCGCUCAAAACUGUUGGGCUCGAGGGAGUUAGAGGUAAGCGGAACUUAGGGUGGAGCGGUGAAAUGCGUUGAUAUCCUAAGGAACACCAGUGGCGAAAGCGGCUUACUGGAGCUCUUCUGACGCUGAGGCACGAAAGCCAGGGGAGCGAACGAGAUUAAAUACCCCGGUAGUCCUGGCCGUAAACGAUGAGCACUGGAUCGAAGGACACUCCAUGGUCUU
rnacentral:rRNA from 1 species